rnacentral:rRNA from 1 species
UACGUAGGUGGCAAGCGUUGUCCGGAAUUAUUGGGCGUAAAGCGCGCGCAGGCGGUCCUUUAAGUCUGAUGUGAAAGCCCACGGCUCAACCGUGGAGGGUCAUUGGAAACUGGGGGACUUGAGUGCAGAAGAGGAGAGUGGAAUUCCACGUGUAGCGGUGAAAUGCGUAGAGAGGUGGAGGAACACCAGUGGCGAAGGCGACUCUCUGGUCUGUAACUGACGCUGAGGCGAGCACGCGUGGGGAGCAAACAGGCUGAGAAACCACAGUAGUCC